rnacentral:ncRNA from 1 species
AUUAGUCAAUGGUUGACUGACCGCAUUCAAAUAAUUUUGUGCUUUUGGUUGUUUGUCUGCGCUUCUUUCUAU